rnacentral:snRNA from 1 species
GGAGGUGAGGGCUCCCUGUGUGUGACAUCUGUCAUACCAUUGAUAACCAGGGUUGGUUCAACUAAUCUGGAUGGCUAGGUGGGUGUCCUCUUCCUUUCUCACCAUUUCAUUGGCAUCUUUCUCAAAGUUGUGUGCUCAAAGAGGAUGACCUUCCCUGGUAGAGAAGGACAUUCUUAGGUCAAGGGUAUAUGACACAGGCUAGUUGAAUGGAUCACAAAACAAGACCCAACAAUAUGUUGCCUACAGGAGACACAUUUGAU